rnacentral:rRNA from 1 species
AUGAGCCAAGUUUAGAAGUCUCUUUAAAGGACUUCAUAGCAAGAUUAAACUGAAGAGUUUGAUCAUGGCUCAGAUUGAACGCUGGCGGCAGGCUUAACACAUGCAAGUCGAGCGGUAACAGGAGAAGCUUGCUUCUUGCUGACGAGCGGCGGACGGGUGAGUAAUACUUAGGAAUCUGCCCAGUAGUGGGGGAUAGCUCGGGGAAACUCGAAUUAAUACCGCAUACACCCUACGGGGAAAAGGGGGCGCUUGCGCUCUCGCUAUUGGAUGAGCCUAAGUCGGAUUAGCUAGUUGGUGGGGUAAAGGCCUACCAAGGCGACGAUCUGUAGCUGGUCUGAGAGGAUGAUCAGCCACACCGGGACUGAGACACGGCCCGGACUCCUACGGGAGGCAGCAGUGGGGAAUAUUGGACAAUGGGGGCAACCCUGAUCCAGCCAUGCCGCGUGUGUGAAGAAGGCCUUUUGGUUGUAAAGCACUUUAAGCAGUGAAGAAGACUCUAUGGUUAAUACCCAUAGACGAUGACAUUAGCUGCAGAAUAAGCACCGGCUAACUCUGUGCCAGCAGCCGCGGUAAUACAGAGGGUGCAAGCGUUAAUCGGAAUUACUGGGCGUAAAGCGAGCGUAGGUGGCUUAAUAAGUCAGAUGUGAAAUCCCCGGGCUUAACCUGGGAACUGCAUCUGAUACUGUUAGGCUAGAGUAGGUGAGAGGGAGGUAGAAUUUCAGGUGUAGCGGUGAAAUGCGUAGAGAUCUGAAGGAAUACCGAUGGCGAAGGCAGCCUCCUGGCAUCAUACUGACACUGAGGUUCGAAAGCGUGGGUAGCAAACAGGAUUAGAUACCCUGGUAGUCCACGCCGUAAACGAUGUCUACUAGUCGUUGGGGAACUUGAUUCCUUAGUGACGCAGCUAACGCAAUAAGUAGACCGCCUGGGGAGUACGGCCGCAAGGUUAAAACUCAAAUGAAUUGACGGGGGCCCGCACAAGCGGUGGAGCAUGUGGUUUAAUUCGAUGCAACGCGAAGAACCUUACCUGGUCUUGACAUAUCUAGAAUCCUGCAGAGAUGCGGGAGUGCCUUCGGGAAUUAGAAUACAGGUGCUGCAUGGCUGUCGUCAGCUCGUGUCGUGAGAUGUUGGGUUAAGUCCCGCAACGAGCGCAACCCUUUUCCUUAGUUACCAGCGGUUUGGCCGGGGACUCUAAGGAUACUGCCAGUGACAAACUGGAGGAAGGCGGGGACGACGUCAAGUCAUCAUGGCCCUUACGACCAGGGCUACACACGUGCUACAAUGGUAGGUACAGAGGGCUGCUACACAGCGAUGUGAUGCGAAUCUCAAAAAGCCUAUCGUAGUCCAGAUUGGAGUCUGCAACUCGACUCCAUGAAGUCGGAAUCGCUAGUAAUCGCGGAUCAGAAUGCCGCGGUGAAUACGUUCCCGGGCCUUGUACACACCGCCCGUCACACCAUGGGAGUUGAUUGCACCAGAAGUGGGUAGCCUAACUUUUAGAGGGCGCUCACCACGGUGUGGUCGAUGACUGGGGUGAAGUCGUAACAAGGUAGCCGUAGGGGAACCUGCGGCUGGAUCACCUCCUUAU